AGGUUACUGCUAUCGGUGUUCGCCUAAGCCAUGCGAGUCAUAUGUUCGUAAGAACAUGGCGUACUGCUCAGUAACACGUGGAUAACCUGCCCUUGGGUCCGGCAUAACCCCGGGAAACUGGGGAUAAUUCCGGAUAACGCACAUAUGCUGGAAUGCUUUAUGCGUAAAAUGGAUUCGUCUGCCCAAGGAUGGGUCUGCGGCCUAUCAGGUAGUAGUGGGUGUAAUGUACCUACUAGCCUACGACGGGUACGGGUUGUGAGAGCAAGAGCCCGGAGAUGGAUUCUGAGACAUGAAUCCAGGCCCUACGGGGCGCAGCAGGCGCGAAAACUUUACAAUGCGGGAAACCGUGAUAAGGGGACACCGAGUGCCAGCAUCCUAUGCUGGCUGUCCGGGUGUGUAAAAUACACCUGUUAGCAAGGGCCGGGCAAGACCGGUGCCAGCCGCCGCGGUAACACCGGCGGCCCGAGUGGUGAUCGUGAUUAUUGGGUCUAAAGGGUCCGUAGCCGGUUUGGUCAGUCCUCCGGGAAAUCUGACAGCUUAACUGUUAGGCUUUCGGAGGAUACUGCCAGACUUGGAACCGGGAGAGGUAAGAGGUACUACAGGGGUAGGAGUGAAAUCUUGUAAUCCCUGUGGGACCACCUGUGCCGAAGGCGUCUUACCAGAACGGGUUCGACGGUGAGGGACGAAAGCUGGGGGCACGAACCGGAUUAGAUACCCGGGUAGUCCCAGCCGUAAACGAUGCUCGCUAGGUGUCACGCAUGGCGCGACCGUGUCUGGUGCCGCAGGGAAGCCGUGAAGCGAGCCACCUGGGAAGUACGGCCGCUAGCUGAAACUUUA
rnacentral:rRNA from 1 species